AUGAUAUACCUUGUACAUCAUCUUCCUCCCGCGAACGACACUUCAAAGUCAACUUCCUCCAACCAGUGGCACUUUGGCAUUGUCUUCCUCCAGCGGACACCAGCUGGCUCCAUCGAGCAAUCAGACCACCUCAAGGCCUCAAGGAGUAUGGCACCCAAACCACUGAAUUCAUUGACUACACGAAACGAGACAUGGACCAUCAAAGUCAAAGUCUCAAAGUCUUACGACUUUAGGACACAAUUAACUUAUCAACUAAUGAACUCAUUAGCACUGAUAAAAUUUUGUGAGAUAAAAAGGUCCAAGUAUUACAUAUAUAAUGUCUCUUCAGUUUUCCUUUUCCAAAGCUUGCUAAUGUUCUCUCUGUGUAGGGCAAUGCAAUCCAUGCUUCUAUUGGGAACAAAUUGUCAAUAA
rnacentral:rRNA from 1 species